rnacentral:rRNA from 1 species
ACGUGAGUAACCUGCCCCUGACUCUGGGAUAAGCCUUGGAAACGAGGUCUAAUACCGGAUAUGAGACGUACAGGCAUCUGUUGCGUCUGGAAAGAUUUAUCGGUGAGGGAUGGGCUCGCGGCCUAUCAGCUUGUUGGUGGGGUGAUGGCCUACCAAGGCGACGACGGGUAGCCGGCCUGAGAGGGCGACCGGCCACACUGGGACUGAGACACGGCCCAGACUCCUACGGGAGGCAGCAGUGGGGAAUAUUGCACAAUGGGCGCAAGCCUGAUGCAGCGACGCCGCGUGAGGGAUGACGGCCUUCGGGUUGUAAACCUCUUUCAGCAGGGAAGAAGCGCAAGUGACGGUACCUGCAGAAGAAGCGCCGGCUAACUACGUGCCAGCAGCCGCGGUAAUACGUAGGGCGCAAGCGUUGUCCGGAAUUAUUGGGCGUAAAGAGCUCGUAGGCGGUUUGUCGCGUCUGCUGUGAAAACCUAAGGCUCAACCUUGGGCUUGCAGUGGGUACGGGCAGACUAGAGUGCGGUAGGGGUGACUGGAAUUCCUGGUGUAGCGGUGGAAUGCGCAGAUAUCAGGAGGAACACCGAUGGCGAAGGCAGGUCACUGGGCCGCAACUGACGCUGAGGAGCGAAAGCAUGGGGAGCGAACAGGAUUAGAUACCCUGGUAGUCCAUGCCGUAAACGUUGGGCACUAGGUGUGGGGCUCAUUCCACGAGUUCCGUGCCGCAGCAAACGCAUUAAGUGCCCCGCCUGGGGNGUACGGCCGCAAGGCUAAAACUCAAAGAAAUUGACGGGGGCCCGCACAAGCGGCGGAGCAUGCGGAUUAAUUCGAUGCAACGCGAAGAACCUUACCAAGGCUUGACAUACACCGGAAAAGUGCAG